CCUACGGGAGGCAGCAGUGGGGAAUAUUGGACAAUGGGGGGAACCCUGAUCCAGCCAUGCCGCGUGUGUGAAGAAGGCCCUCGGGUUGUAAAGCACUUUCAGUGAGGAAGAACGCCUGGUGGUUAAUACCCAUCAGGAAAGACAUCACUCACAGAAGAAGCACCGGCUAACUCCGUGCCAGCAGCCGCGGUAAUACGGAGGGUGCGAGCGUUAAUCGGAAUUACUGGGCGUAAAGCGCGCGUAGGUGGCUUGAUAAGCCGGUUGUGAAAGCCCCGGGCUCAACCUGGGAACGGCAUCCGGAACUGUCAAGCUAGAGGGCAGUAGAGGAAGGUAGAAUUCCCGGUGUAGCGGUGAAAUGCGUAGAGAUCGGGAGGAAUACCAGUGGCGAAGGCGGCCUUCUGGACUGACACUGACACUGAGGUGCGAAAGCGUGGGUAGCAAACAGGAUUAGAUACCCUGGUAGUC
rnacentral:rRNA from 1 species